UUGGUGCUCCUCUCCAGUGUUUCUCUACUGUCCUUGGCUUUUAGGAUGUUGUGGACAGGAUUGCAUGUUGCAACUUUCUGGGGGCUGGAUACCUGCUUCUCAUCUUUUGGCUGAAGAGGCUAUCAGAUCAGCUUUGCUCUUCCGCUGUGGCUGCACCAUUGUUCUUCACUAUUGUGUGCCCCAACAGCACCGAAGCACUCGGAGUGUAUGAAAAGCACCUUUAUAAUUCUGCAGCCAGAGAAAUAGCAAUGUGUCUGCCACAGGAACCCCGCUGCUGGGUCCCCUUCAUGCAGGUGGGGCAAGAGCACCACCAGCUCCCGGAAUAAAAGCAACAGACAUCCUGGACUGUGAUAUAACCGGUUUGUAAGUAGG